GAUGAACGCUGGCGGCGUGCCUAAUACAUGCAAGUCGAGCGAAUGAAUUGAGAGCUUGCUCUUAUGAAGUUAGCGGCGGACGGGUGAGUAACACGUGGGUAACCUGCCCAUAAGACUGGGAUAACUCCGGGAAACCGGGGCUAAUACCGGAUAACAUUUUGAACCGCAUGGUUCGAAAUUGAAAGGCGCCUUCGGCUGUCACUUAUGGAUGUACCCGCGUCGCAUUAGCUAGUUGGUGAGGUAACGGCUCACCAAGGCAACGAUGCGUAGCCGACCUGAGAGGGUGAUCGGCCACACUGGGACUGAGACACGGCCCAGACUCCUACGGGAGGCAGCAGUAGGGAAUCUUCCGCAAUGGACGAAAGUCUGACGGAGCAACGCCGCGUGAGUGAUGAAGGCUUUCGGGUCGUAAAACUCUGUUGUUAGGGAAGAACAAGUGCUAGUUGAAUAAGCUGGCACCUUGACGGUACCUAACCAGAAAGCCACGGCUAACUACGUGCCAGCAGCCGCCGUAA
rnacentral:rRNA from 1 species